AACGAACGCUGGCGGCAGGCUUAACACAUGCAAGUCGAACGCAUCGCAAGAUGAGUGGCAGACGGGUGAGUAACGCGUGGGAAUCUACCUAGUUCUACGGAACAACAGUUGGAAACGACUGCUAAUACCGUAUACGCCCUACGGGGGAAAGAUUUAUCGGAAUUAGAUGAGCCCGCGUAAGAUUAGCUAGUUGGUGGGGUAAUGGCCUACCAAGGCGACGAUCUUUAGCUGGUCUGAGAGGAUGAUCAGCCACACUGGGACUGAGACACGGCCCAGACUCCUACGGGAGGCAGCAGUGGGGAAUAUUGGACAAUGGGCGCAAGCCUGAUCCAGCCAUGCCGCGUGAGUGAUGAAGGCCUUAGGGUUGUAAAGCUCUUUCACCGAUGAGGAUAAUGACGGUAGUCGGAGAAGAAGCCCCGGCUAACUUCGUGCCAGCCGCCGCCGUAAAAC
rnacentral:rRNA from 1 species